AGGCCCGCCCCAGACCACACCGGCCAGUGUGGGGAAGGGCAGGAACCCCUGCUGCUUUUUAAGCCCCUGCGGGCGUUUGUGAUGCAAUAGGGAGUUAGAAAAGUACUCAAUAGUGAGUGUCGUUAUUCGGUUUGUCAAAAAUUAAAGGUGGGGAGGACAAAAAUCAGGAGAGAUUGAUUGCAUCUACUUUUCUACGGAAAUGUCUAACUCCGCUUCCAAAAAAAGCGGAAGUGAGUAUGCAACAUCUAAGAUUGAGACAUCAAAA
rnacentral:lncRNA from 1 species